CCUACGGGAGGCUGCAGUGGGGAAUAUUGGGCAAUGGGCGCAAGCCUGACCCAGCAACGCCGCGUGAAGGAAGAAGGCUUUCGGGUUGUAAACUUCUUUUGACAGGGAAGAGCAGAAGACGGUACCUGUCGAAUAAGCCACGGCUAACUACGUGCCAGCAGCCGCGGUAAUACGUAGGUGGCAAGCGUUGUCCGGAUUUACUGGGUGUAAAGGGCGUGUAGCCGGGCUGACAAGUCAGAUGUGAAAGCCGGGGGCUCAACCCCCGAACUGCAUUUGAAACUGUUGGUCUUGAGUAUCGGAGAGGCAGGCGGAAUUCCUAGUGUAGCGGUGAAAGGCAUAGAUAUUAGGAGGAACACCAGUGGCGAAGGCGGCCUGCUGGACGACAACUGACGGUGAGGCGCGAAAGCGUGGGGAGCAAACAGGAUUAGAUACCCCUGUAGUC
rnacentral:rRNA from 1 species